GAUGAACGCUGGCGGCGUGCCUAAUACAUGCAAGUCGAGCGAACAGACGAGGAGCUUGCUCCUCUGACGUUAGCGGCGGACGGGUGAGUAACACGUGGAUAACCUACCUAUAAGACUGGGAUAACUUCGGGAAAACGGAGCUAAUACCGGAUAAUAUAUUGAACCGCAUGGUUCAAUAGUGAAAGACGGUUUUGCUGUCACUUAUAGAUGGAUCCGCGCCGCAUUAGCUAGUUGGUAAGGUAACGGCUUACCAAGGCGACGAUGCGUAGCCGACCUGAGAGGGUGAUCGGCCACACUGGAACUGAGACACGGUCCAGACUCCUACGGGAGGCAGCAGUGGGGAAUCUUCCGCAAUGGGCGAAAGCCUGACGGAGCAACGCCGCGUGAGUGAUGAAGGUCUUCGGAUCGUAAAACUCUGUUAUUAGGGAAGAACAAAUGUGUAAUUAACUAUGCACGUCUUGACGGUACCUAAUCAGAAAGCCACGGCUAACUACGUG
rnacentral:rRNA from 1 species